GCGAGAGCAAUUUGCACACCCAACAGCAGCAUAGCCUGACCUCAAACUUCUUUUCUUUGUAGGAAGCCCUGUAGCAGUCCCGGAGUGAUGGGACUCCCUGCCUGGCCUGAGAUACCCAGUUAGCACCUGCGAAUCAGAAUUUCCUCUUCGCAGCAAUAAAGCAUCCAGCCUUUGCAUCUGUGACAGCCUCCCCUGUAAUUUAUGCAUUCUAUGCUAUCACAACUUUGUAGAGUGGUUCCUCGACUCCAUUUAAAGACUAACUUCAGCUUUAAAAUGGGCAGUUCCUGAAUCCAAGCUCCUUUGAGGGAAAAAUGACAGGAUAUUCAUCUUUCUCAUCAUAAAAAAGCUAGCCUGAAAAUGGCCAUGCUUCAUGGCUCAUCCUGAAAUCUCCUCAACAUUCACAAUUUGUAUGCCCUGGUGUGGCUUAGAAGUAAAAAGUCUACCUGCAGUGCAAGAGACCCAGGUUUAACCCCUGUGUUGGGAAAAUCCGCUGGAGAAGGGAAUGGCAACCCACUCCAGUAUUCUUGCCUGGAGAAUCCCAUGGACAGAGGAGCCUGGCAAGCUACAGCCCACGGGGUCACAAGGAGUCGGACAUGACUGAGUGAGUUUACUUCACUUCACAGAGAGAAAAAAGUAAGAGAAAGAUGUUUUUUUAAAAUAUUGUUGUAAAAGAUACAACUUAUAAGUUAUAAAUUCUAGAAUUUUAUGAAUGGUGAACUCAUAGAUGAAAAAGAGUGUUAGGCAUUUUGGCUGCAGGAAACAGUUACCUUAGUAAUGGAAGUUUCUAGAAAGGGCAUAUGAGAAAAUAGAGAAGAGAGUAUUCUCACAGGAAUCGAAGAACAUCCAUUACCCGAGAUCCCACAUAGUCCUGAGCACUAGUGUUAUAUCUGUUGUCUCUGUAGGAGCAAGAAUUUAUAGAUCUAUGCUCUGAUACCAUUAAUAAGGCUCUAUUAUUCUGUGUUUAUACUUCUCAUUGUGUCCUUUAUAAUUUCUCUUCCCACUAUUUGGAGAUCCAAAGUGAUGAAGACCAUAGAUUCUACAAUUAAAA
rnacentral:lncRNA from 1 species